rnacentral:lncRNA from 1 species
UUGUGACAUCAAUAAUGGAGUUUGAUUGAAAAAAAAAUCACAAGCAUAACAAAUCAAUGCUCACAAUAAAGAAGUAAGUUAUGUUUGACUGUUUGCUGGGCCUAUGACAGACAAGGCAAGCUCUACUCUCAGAAGCAAAAAUUAUAUAUCUAGGAGUCAGAGUAUGAAUCAAGAAGAAUGGACUUCUGCUUCUUAUCUACCUAAUGCCAGCACUCUGGCAGGCUAUGUUUCCUGGCACUGGGGUUUUGAAUGAGGAAGAAUUGCUUCCAAGCACAGUGCCCUGAGGAAAAGACCACAACCUCUACUUUAUUGUCUCUUCUUAACAACAUUUACAAUUUUUUUUUUCUCCUGCUGUUGAGGGACAAAGAGCAAAGCAACUCUGCUAAGAACGUGACAGUUACAGUUCACAUUCAACCUGCUGCCGACCUGUUUUCAGAUAUUAAAACCCUUUGGCUCAUCCUGUCCACUCCCUACUAUGUGUAGUUUACACUGGAAAAAGAAGGCUUCAAAGUGUGUCAAGAGUUAACACCUCAAGACAAUCACCACUUGGCUCUUUGAGAGCUAUCUGCCAGGAGGAGCCUCAUAGCUUGAUAGAUACACUGCAAUUUUUCAUCUUUUCAGCCAGGGUGAAUUUUGCUUUUUGACUAUGGCUUUUGGAUUUCCAAGAACAGAGAGUUGAAGCUUGUAUCUACACAAGGCUACUAAAGCACUCUAUUUGUCAGAUGUUUCAAAGAUAAUGAUGACAGCAAUGCAUUUUCUACAUUCAUAUCCUCAAUCAUAUGUUUUUGAAUGCUUACUGGAAAACCGGUUUAAAAGAAAGGUGACUAGUUAUUGGUCUUGCUCUGACAGCCGUGGAAACCAUUUGCUGAUGAAAGCACAAGCAACAACAACAAAAAAGAUGAAUAAACUGGAUUUCAACAAAAACACAUUUGUGCUUCAGAGAACAUAAUCAAGAAAGUGAAAAGGCAACCCACCAAUGGGAGAACACAGUUUCAAAACAUAUAUCUAAUAAAAUAUUUGAGUCCAGAUUAUCUAAAGAACUCUUGCAACUUGUUAAUACAAAGACAAUCCAAUUUAAAAAAUGACAAAUGAUCUGAAAAUAAAUUCCUCGAAAGAAGAUAUACAAAUGGCUAAUAAGCACAUGGAAAGAAACUAAAUAGCAUUAAUCAUUAGGAAAACACAAGUAAAAACCACAAUAAAAAACCAAUUCACA